rnacentral:rRNA from 1 species
GACGAACGCUGGCGGCGUGCCUAACACAUGCAAGUCGAGCGGAGUUAGUAGCAAUACUAACUUAGCGGCGGACGGGUGAGUAACGCGUGAGUAACCUGCCGAGAACAGGGGGAUAACACAGGGAAACUUGUGCUAAUACCGCAUAAUAUCAUUGAAUGGCAUCAUUUGAUGAUCAAAGGAGUAAUCCGGUUUUUGAUGGACUGGCGUCUGAUUAGCUAGUAGGUGAGGUAAUGGCUCACCUAGGCGACGAUCAGUAGCCGAACUGAGAGGUUGAUCAGCCACAUUGGGACUGAGACACGGCCCAGGCUCCUACGGGAGGCAGCAGUGGGGAAUAUUGCGCAAUGGGGGAAACCCUGACGCAGCAUCGCCGCGUGAAGGAUGAAGGCUUUCGGGUUGUAAACUUCUUUGAUAGGGGACGAAUAAAUGACGGUACCCUAAAAACAAGCCACGGCUAACUACGUGCCAGCCGCCGCCGUAA